rnacentral:lncRNA from 1 species
AAUUGAUAUAACGUCUCUCUAAUGAAAUUAGAGCAUGCGUUUUAGCCGUAUGUCUUAAUUACAAGAUUGGGCAAAACCGGUUUAUAAAAUUGCUUGGUAUCACUGUUGCUAAAACCCAGUUUCUUGUUUUUUCCAUGUUUGUUAAACCACAUAUUUUUUUGGAUGAUAUGUCUGGUGUCUACCUCCACAAUGCAUUUUGGGAGGGGAGGGGAUAAGAAAGAGGGAAAGCCUAACUUAAAAUAGUUUGUUCUUUUCUAGGUAGAAGGCUGUGGAAAAAAUAAAUCAUUUUGCCUUCAAAAAAAAAAAAAAAUCCAGCAACUUUUUCUUUAAGGUGCUCUGAUGCCCCGUUGUGUGGAGCCGAAACUUACAGCAACAGAAAGAUUUAUGCGUCAGGGAUGUGGUGUUUGCAACUCAAAGAAAUGUCACUCCAAAGCUCUUGCUGUUUGCACAUGUCCCACAUCGUCCACGGUGUGAUCCAGCUCAGACCAGUAGGGCAAGGCUGGACCUCCUACAGUUGCUGCCCCCCCACUAGUCCAAAUGCAGCAGGUAUGUUCUCUGGUUCUCUGCUGUAUUUGCUGUGGUGGUGUAGCAGCUUUUGUUCACAAGCACUGCCAAUCAGGAUUGGGACCUGUGGCAUGGAGGAGGCAACAGUUGUUUUUACACUAACUCUAGUUAGUCAAAGGGCUGUCGGAGUGUGGAAAUUUCAAAUGCAUCCUGAAAUCCAAUUAGAAUAUUGGCAUGAUACAACAUUUGUGACGGACUUUCUCCACAAAUAA